UUGGACCUGAUAUCAGACAAGAUUACCCGCUGACUAGCUAUAUCU
rnacentral:rRNA from 1 species